rnacentral:sRNA from 2 species
CUUUACCCUUCGUACACACCGGUUCCUCCGCGCCGCCCGCGCCCACCUGGCGACUGCUCGCUACGUUUUGUUCGCC